rnacentral:lncRNA from 10 species
CAUGGAUGAACAGAUUUAUGGAUGGCUGGGUGGAUGACGAUCUUAGAAGGGGUUCCAGGGCUAGCUGGCUUUCUGUUUCUCCCACUCAAGCACCCAAGCCCUGACCCACAAAGUAAAGGAACAGGCGAAACUUCUCGCCAAAUAGCUUCAAGGCAGAAACUACGCAGCUGGCUUGGGAAUUCCGUACAACGCGAACGCGCAUGCACAGGCAGGACUGAGCGUGUCCAUCUUCGCAUUACUCCCGGAGAUGACUCUCGGAAACGGUCCGAGGACUAACGUCUUUCUCUUCCUCGCCCUCAUUCCUCCCAGUAACGUCCGCUACAAAAGAAACCGUGCACAAAAUAAACUCGGGCGGCGGGUAGAAAGGAGACAGCCGAAUUCCCUACACCCAUGAUCAACACGCCCACACCUCCCAUCAGGGCUGUGAACCCCUGAUAUCUGAGAGGUGUCUCAGUCAAUUUAGAAAGUUUAUUUUGCCAACGUUAAGGACCCGCCCAUGACAGCCUCAGGAGGUCCUGACGACACGUGCCCAAGGUGGUCAGGGCACAGCCUGCUUCCAUACAUUUUAGUGAGACAUGAAACAUCAAUCAUUUUAUGUGCUAGACCUCCAGAGAGAGAAAAUGAGACACAUAAGGUGGAAAUUACUCUGUGGUGACACACUGUGGAGUCCUGCCCACAACCCGGAUACUUGGACCCACUCCACUGAAACCUUAGGCCACAGCUAAGUUCCUUCCUUCAAAAAAUAAAUCUAAGAAAGAGGAAAAACAGGAAUGACCUCCUUUCAGGCACUCUGUUGGUUUUAUGGCGCCUCUUCUUGCGAAUGUUUGUGUAAAAUUGACAUACUGUGGUCCUUUUCUGCACAAUUACGGCAAGGAAAAUUCAGAUCGCAAAGGUCCACCUUUCAUCUGCAUCUCAUUACCGGGUAGCAGGAAUAAGUAGGCUGACCCUCAGUUUGGACCGGGAACAGCUGUAUUGGCACAGAGAUUUCAGAAAAGAAAAAGCGGGAGUUAGUAGGCCACCCUAAAAGCUGUGCCUCUACAGCGGAAAGAAACUUUGUUUUGACUCUGAGGAACGGCGCUUUUUUUCUAAACGCGAAGGGCGGGGUAAGAGCAGAGCUGCACGCAUCUGUGAAUACAUACUGCCACCAAACGGGCAUAAUUUCACCGCGACGGAGAAAGUCUGGGAGGACGUUCUCUUUGCGGCCCAAUUUCUGCUCUUUAGAUCUGGAGCAGUCCACUGAGGGACCUGAACAAGAUAAACGGGAAGGGAAAAGCGCCAGAAGUUCGAGCAGAGAACCCACCGGGCAGCCGGUGGGGGUGCCCCGGAAGUCGAUUUGCAACUGGGAGGCGGGCGGUCUGCCGAAGUGCUGCCCCGGAAGCCAUAGCAGUAGCAGAAGGACGUUCCCGCCCCGCUCCUUCCCCCGGCCCUCCCCC